GGACCCUUGUGAUGCAGAACAGCGAACGGGCUGAGGACUGAAUGCUUCCUUUACUCAGCUUUUUACUUUGCAAGACUGCCCUCCAGAAAUUAUCUCAAUGGCAGUAAGCAGGGAAGAGGAAAAGUGAACGUCUUCAGUGUUUGUUUAUGCACAGUGAUGUUGCUCUGCUGAAAUGCUCUCUGGCGCAAGCCUUCCUUUACCACUAAUUGUACAAAUGCACAGAAAGUUCAGCUGUUAUGUACGUGGCUCCCAGCUGAGGCAUUGCUGCUGCUGCUACACGCUGUUUCGGCUUCAGUGGGGGCCACGUAUACUCUGUAUCCACUGUUGGUCUCUUCCAUAGUCCUUGUUUGUAGCACUGCUACAGUGAGAAAGCACGCAGCUGGGGGCAGAAGGAAGGGAGCUGAGCAAAGGCUGCAGAGCGCAGCCAUCAGGAGCUGCUGCAGGAGGCAGGAGCAAGCAAGAGGAUGCGGAAGCGUGCAGACGCGGGGGGGAAGGAGAGAGGCACUCUGGGCAAAGCAUCCGUCCCGUUAGCGGGGCCGCAGUCCCAUUUAGUCCCAUUUGAGUUUGAGAGUUGCCGGCGCCUUGGCCGGCUUUGUGCUGGGCGACCUCCCUGUAAGCAGGGCUCGGGUCUUUGCUUUUGCUGUAGUUGGGCUUUUGCCUUGCUGCUCCUUUGGCUGCCUGGGGAGCGUGGCCCCCUGUAACGCAGGGCGAGAGCCACCUCUCCGCACCUGAGUGGGAAACGGAGCUCGCCGGACCCCGAGGCCGCCCUGUAAGCAGGGUAGUGCCGUUUCCCCGCCCCUCUUCCUCCUCCGGCCCCUCGGCAUCGUUGCCUGGUGGUGGCCUGUCAGUGCGACGGCCCCGUACUCGGGGUGCGCGUCACGGCAUCUGGCCUUUGGCUUUAGCUGGGAAGCCCCUUGGCACGUUGAGGUCUGCGGCCUCCGUGCAGGCUAGGGACAGGUCACAGGCUCUUGUCUGUUGCCCGCGGUUGUGGGUUUAUUCCCAGGGUUUGGCUGCGCUGCGUUGUCCUUCCCUUCUGGAAAGUCGCGCCUGUGUGUGCGCGUUGCCCUUCCUUUCCUUGUUUGUGUUUGUGGAGUGACGGAGCGACUGAACUUUCCCUUUAGGCCCCCACAAAGAUGGCUGCAGCUUAGCUUCGACUUCCCUGGGGGGAAUGGAGGACUGUGGUGCACGCCGCAAAAGGGGUGUUCCCUCUCAGUCCCGCGAGCGCAGCGAGUGUCCUGUCUUCCUCUAAAUUAUUUAGCCUAGAUCAGAGCCACAUGGUAGUUCAGUGGCCGAGGCCGCCCUGUAGCCAGGGCUUGGGCCAGUCCUUUAGUGGGCGCCUGCUCCGCUGGCGGUGUGACAGCCCCGUAGUCGGGGCGUGUGUCCCAAGCUGCGGAGCCCUCUGUCCCCCGAGCAGCCCUCCCGCCCGCCCUGUAAUCAGGUGCGGGGAGGCUGCGGCAUUGCAGCCGGCUGCUCUAGCCAUCCAGCUGGUGGGAAUGACCCCUCCCUGUCCCGUCAGAGGGUGCAGGUUGAGGUGCUGCUUGUGUGUGCGGUGACCUCCCCACUCGGUGGGUCGAGGUUGCUCCCGGGGUUCCCAAAGGCAAGAGGUUGGUGAUGUUGUGCUGCUGCCGGGCGGGCCAGCCUGUAACUCGGGCGUUGGCGGGAGCCUCGUGCUCCGCGGGGCUUCCUGGGGAGGGUGGGGUGUGGGGGUACCGUCCUGUAGGCAGGGCUGCGCGUGCCCCCCGUGAGUGCUAGGUGAGCUGCGUUCAGAGAGACCCCCUGUACUCAGGCGGGCAUGUGGCCCCGGCCUUUCAGAGGCACGGGGCUGCGAGAGGUGGGCUUGGGCUUGCGCCCUCCCCGCAGUCAGGGCUGGGGUCCCCACCGCGGCAUUUGGCCGUGCCGCCCCGCUGCCUGGCAGCUGAGAGUCUCUCCCGCCGCUGGGGGGGAAACCGAGCUCUGUGGCUCCAGGGGUGUCAUCCACCCGCCUGUAAUCAGGGUCUGGGUGCGCGAGCGCUUGUGCUCAGCUGGCAGCCUGUGUGGGGUGACCGCCCCGUUAGCGGGGUGCGGGUCCAGGUGCCCCCGGACUGGGAGAGAAGGAGCCUCCCGCGGCCGGUAGGGAUGGGGGCUGCCCUGUAAGCCGGGGAGCGCCAGUGCCCCGCAGUCCCAGGCCCUUUGCAAUGGAGGCAGUGGCGGGGGUCCCCUGUAAUCAGGGAAGCUGACUCUUUGGCCGCUGCCAUGCGUGUGUGCCCAGCUCCAUUUGCCCAGUCUGCCCGCCUCUGUGAUCCCCCGCAGCACCGGCUGGAAGCGCGCCGUGCGCCAGUGAGGAGCUGCUGCAGAAGAAAGAAGAAGAAGCGGCGUGGGGACGCGGGAGGCAGGAGCGCGCAAGCAAGCAAGCAAGGAUGCAAGCGAGAAGAGGAUGCGGAAGCGUGCAGACGCGGGGGGGAAGGAGAGAGGCACUCUGGGCAAAGCAUCCGUCCCGUUAGCGGGGCCGCAGUCCCAUUUAGUCCCAUUUGAGUUUGAGAGUUGCCGGCGCCUUGGCCGGCUUUGUGCUGGGCGACCUCCCUGUAAGCAGGGCUCGGGUCUUUGCUUUUGCUGUAGUUGGGCUUUUGCCUUGCUGCUCCUUUGGCUGCCUGGGGAGCGUGGCCCCCUGUAACGCAGGGCGAGAGCCACCUCUCCGCACCUGAGUGGGAAACGGAGCUCGCCGGACCCCGAGGCCGCCCUGUAAGCAGGGUAGUGCCGUUUCCCCGCCCCUCUUCCUCCUCCGGCCCCUCGGCAUCGUUGCCUGGUGGUGGCCUGUCAGUGCGACGGCCCCGUACUCGGGGUGCGCGUCACGGCAUCUGGCCUUUGGCUUUAGCUGGGAAGCCCCUUGGCACGUUGAGGUCUGCGGCCUCCGUGCAGGCUAGGGACAGGUCACAGGCUCUUGUCUGUUGCCCGCGGUUGUGGGUUUAUUCCCAGGGUUUGGCUGCGCUGCGUUGUCCUUCCCUUCUGGAAAGUCGCGCCUGUGUGUGCGCGUUGCCCUUCCUUUCCUUGUUUGUGUUUGUGGAGUGACGGAGCGACUGAACUUUCCCUUUAGGCCCCCACAAAGAUGGCUGCAGCUUAGCUUCGACUUCCCUGGGGGGAAUGGAGGACUGUGGUGCACGCCGCAAAAGGGGUGUUCCCUCUCAGUCCCGCGAGCGCAGCGAGUGUCCUGUCUUCCUCUAAAUUAUUUAGCCUAGAUCAGAGCCACAUGGUAGUUCAGUGGCCGAGGCCGCCCUGUAGCCAGGGCUUGGGCCAGUCCUUUAGUGGGCGCCUGCUCCGCUGGCGGUGUGACAGCCCCGUAGUCGGGGCGUGUGUCCCAAGCUGCGGAGCCCUCUGUCCCCCGAGCAGCCCUCCCGCCCGCCCUGUAAUCAGGUGCGGGGAGGCUGCGGCAUUGCAGCCGGCUGCUCUAGCCAUCCAGCUGGUGGGAAUGACCCCUCCCUGUCCCGUCAGAGGGUGCAGGUUGAGGUGCUGCUUGUGUGUGCGGUGACCUCCCCACUCGGUGGGUCGAGGUUGCUCCCGGGGUUCCCAAAGGCAAGAGGUUGGUGAUGUUGUGCUGCUGCCGGGCGGGCCAGCCUGUAACUCGGGCGUUGGCGGGAGCCUCGUGCUCCGCGGGGCUUCCUGGGGAGGGUGGGGUGUGGGGGUACCGUCCUGUAGGCAGGGCUGCGCGUGCCCCCCGUGAGUGCUAGGUGAGCUGCGUUCAGAGAGACCCCCUGUACUCAGGCGGGCAUGUGGCCCCGGCCUUUCAGAGGCACGGGGCUGCGAGAGGUGGGCUUGGGCUUGCGCCCUCCCCGCAGUCAGGGCUGGGGUCCCCACCGCGGCAUUUGGCCGUGCCGCCCCGCUGCCUGGCAGCUGAGAGUCUCUCCCGCCGCUGGGGGGGAAACCGAGCUCUGUGGCUCCAGGGGUGUCAUCCACCCGCCUGUAAUCAGGGUCUGGGUGCGCGAGCGCUUGUGCUCAGCUGGCAGCCUGUGUGGGGUGACCGCCCCGUUAGCGGGGUGCGGGUCCAGGUGCCCCCGGACUGGGAGAGAAGGAGCCUCCCGCGGCCGGUAGGGAUGGGGGCUGCCCUGUAAGCCGGGGAGCGCCAGUGCCCCGCAGUCCCAGGCCCUUUGCAAUGGAGGCAGUGGCGGGGGUCCCCUGUAAUCAGGGAAGCUGACUCUUUGGCCGCUGCCAUGCGUGUGUGCCCAGCUCCAUUUGCCCAGUCUGCCCGCCUCUGUGAUCCCCCGCAGCACCGGCUGGAAGCGCGCCGUGCGCCAGUGAGGAGCUGCUGCAGAAGAAAGAAGAAGAAGCGGCGUGGGGACGCGGGAGGCAGGAGCGCGCAAGCAAGCAAGCAAGGAUGCAAGCGAGAAGAGGAUGCGGAAGCGUGCAGACGCGGGGGGGAAGGAGAGAGGCACCCUGGGCAAAGCAUCCGUCCCGUUAGCGGGGCCGCAGUCCCAUUUAGUCCCAUUUGAGUUUGAGAGUUGCCGGCGCCUUGGCCGGCUUUGUGCUGGGCGACCUCCCUGUAAGCAGGGCUCGGGUCUUUGCUUUUGCUGUAGUUGGGCUUUUGCCUUGCUGCUCCUUUGGCUGCCUGGGGAGCGUGGCCCCCUGUAACGCAGGGCGAGAGCCACCUCUCCGCACCUGAGUGGGAAACGGAGCUCGCCGGACCCCGAGGCCGCCCUGUAAGCAGGGUAGUGCCGUUUCCCCGCCCCUCUUCCUCCUCCGGCCCCUCGGCAUCGUUGCCUGGUGGUGGCCUGUCAGUGCGACGGCCCCGUACUCGGGGUGCGCGUCACGGCAUCUGGCCUUUGGCUUUAGCUGGGAAGCCCCUUGGCACGUUGAGGUCUGCGGCCUCCGUGCAGGCUAGGGACAGGUCACAGGCUCUUGUCUGUUGCCCGCGGUUGUGGGUUUAUUCCCAGGGUUUGGCUGCGCUGCGUUGUCCUUCCCUUCUGGAAAGUCGCGCCUGUGUGUGCGCGUUGCCCUUCCUUUCCUUGUUUGUGUUUGUGGAGUGACGGAGCGACUGAACUUUCCCUUUAGGCCCCCACAAAGAUGGCUGCAGCUUAGCUUCGACUUCCCUGGGGGGAAUGGAGGACUGUGGUGCACGCCGCAAAAGGGGUGUUCCCUCUCAGUCCCGCGAGCGCAGCGAGUGUCCUGUCUUCCUCUAAAUUAUUUAGCCUAGAUCAGAGCCACAUGGUAGUUCAGUGGCCGAGGCCGCCCUGUAGCCAGGGCUUGGGCCAGUCCUUUAGUGGGCGCCUGCUCCGCUGGCGGUGUGACAGCCCCGUAGUCGGGGCGUGUGUCCCAAGCUGCGGAGCCCUCUGUCCCCCGAGCAGCCCUCCCGCCCGCCCUGUAAUCAGGUGCGGGGAGGCUGCGGCAUUGCAGCCGGCUGCUCUAGCCAUCCAGCUGGUGGGAAUGACCCCUCCCUGUCCCGUCAGAGGGUGCAGGUUGAGGUGCUGCUUGUGUGUGCGGUGACCUCCCCACUCGGUGGGUCGAGGUUGCUCCCGGGGUUCCCAAAGGCAAGAGGUUGGUGAUGUUGUGCUGCUGCCGGGCGGGCCAGCCUGUAACUCGGGCGUUGGCGGGAGCCUCGUGCUCCGCGGGGCUUCCUGGGGAGGGUGGGGUGUGGGGGUACCGUCCUGUAGGCAGGGCUGCGCGUGCCCCCCGUGAGUGCUAGGUGAGCUGCGUUCAGAGAGACCCCCUGUACUCAGGCGGGCAUGUGGCCCCGGCCUUUCAGAGGCACGGGGCUGCGAGAGGUGGGCUUGGGCUUGCGCCCUCCCCGCAGUCAGGGCUGGGGUCCCCACCGCGGCAUUUGGCCGUGCCGCCCCGCUGCCUGGCAGCUGAGAGUCUCUCCCGCCGCUGGGGGGGAAACCGAGCUCUGUGGCUCCAGGGGUGUCAUCCACCCGCCUGUAAUCAGGGUCUGGGUGCGCGAGCGCUUGUGCUCAGCUGGCAGCCUGUGUGGGGUGACCGCCCCGUUAGCGGGGUGCGGGUCCAGGUGCCCCCGGACUGGGAGAGAAGGAGCCUCCCGCGGCCGGUAGGGAUGGGGGCUGCCCUGUAAGCCGGGGAGCGCCAGUGCCCCGCAGUCCCAGGCCCUUUGCAAUGGAGGCAGUGGCGGGGGUCCCCUGUAAUCAGGGAAGCUGACUCUUUGGCCGCUGCCAUGCGUGUGUGCCCAGCUCCAUUUGCCCAGUCUGCCCGCCUCUGUGAUCCCCCGCAGCACCGGCUGGAAGCGCGCCGUGCGCCAGUGAGGAGCUGCUGCAGAAGAAAGAAGAAGAAGCGGCGUGGGGACGCGGGAGGCAGGAGCGCGCAAGCAAGCAAGCAAGGAUGCAAGCGAGAAGAGGAUGCGGAAGCGUGCAGACGCGGGGGGGAAGGAGAGAGGCACUCUGGGCAAAGCAUCCGUCCCGUUAGCGGGGCCGCAGUCCCAUUUAGUCCCAUUUGAGUUUGAGAGUUGCCGGCGCCUUGGCCGGCUUUGUGCUGGGCGACCUCCCUGUAAGCAGGGCUCGGGUCUUUGCUUUUGCUGUAGUUGGGCUUUUGCCUUGCUGCUCCUUUGGCUGCCUGGGGAGCGUGGCCCCCUGUAACGCAGGGCGAGAGCCACCUCUCCGCACCUGAGUGGGAAACGGAGCUCGCCGGACCCCGAGGCCGCCCUGUAAGCAGGGUAGUGCCGUUUCCCCGCCCCUCUUCCUCCUCCGGCCCCUCGGCAUCGUUGCCUGGUGGUGGCCUGUCAGUGCGACGGCCCCGUACUCGGGGUGCGCGUCACGGCAUCUGGCCUUUGGCUUUAGCUGGGAAGCCCCUUGGCACGUUGAGGUCUGCGGCCUCCGUGCAGGCUAGGGACAGGUCACAGGCUCUUGUCUGUUGCCCGCGGUUGUGGGUUUAUUCCCAGGGUUUGGCUGCGCUGCGUUGUCCUUCCCUUCUGGAAAGUCGCGCCUGUGUGUGCGCGUUGCCCUUCCUUUCCUUGUUUGUGUUUGUGGAGUGACGGAGCGACUGAACUUUCCCUUUAGGCCCCCACAAAGAUGGCUGCAGCUUAGCUUCGACUUCCCUGGGGGGAAUGGAGGACUGUGGUGCACGCCGCAAAAGGGGUGUUCCCUCUCAGUCCCGCGAGCGCAGCGAGUGUCCUGUCUUCCUCUAAAUUAUUUAGCCUAGAUCAGAGCCACAUGGUAGUUCAGUGGCCGAGGCCGCCCUGUAGCCAGGGCUUGGGCCAGUCCUUUAGUGGGCGCCUGCUCCGCUGGCGGUGUGACAGCCCCGUAGUCGGGGCGUGUGUCCCAAGCUGCGGAGCCCUCUGUCCCCCGAGCAGCCCUCCCGCCCGCCCUGUAAUCAGGUGCGGGGAGGCUGCGGCAUUGCAGCCGGCUGCUCUAGCCAUCCAGCUGGUGGGAAUGACCCCUCCCUGUCCCGUCAGAGGGUGCAGGUUGAGGUGCUGCUUGUGUGUGCGGUGACCUCCCCACUCGGUGGGUCGAGGUUGCUCCCGGGGUUCCCAAAGGCAAGAGGUUGGUGAUGUUGUGCUGCUGCCGGGCGGGCCAGCCUGUAACUCGGGCGUUGGCGGGAGCCUCGUGCUCCGCGGGGCUUCCUGGGGAGGGUGGGGUGUGGGGGUACCGUCCUGUAGGCAGGGCUGCGCGUGCCCCCCGUGAGUGCUAGGUGAGCUGCGUUCAGAGAGACCCCCUGUACUCAGGCGGGCAUGUGGCCCCGGCCUUUCAGAGGCACGGGGCUGCGAGAGGUGGGCUUGGGCUUGCGCCCUCCCCGCAGUCAGGGCUGGGGUCCCCACCGCGGCAUUUGGCCGUGCCGCCCCGCUGCCUGGCAGCUGAGAGUCUCUCCCGCCGCUGGGGGGGAAACCGAGCUCUGUGGCUCCAGGGGUGUCAUCCACCCGCCUGUAAUCAGGGUCUGGGUGCGCGAGCGCUUGUGCUCAGCUGGCAGCCUGUGUGGGGUGACCGCCCCGUUAGCGGGGUGCGGGUCCAGGUGCCCCCGGACUGGGAGAGAAGGAGCCUCCCGCGGCCGGUAGGGAUGGGGGCUGCCCUGUAAGCCGGGGAGCGCCAGUGCCCCGCAGUCCCAGGCCCUUUGCAAUGGAGGCAGUGGCGGGGGUCCCCUGUAAUCAGGGAAGCUGACUCUUUGGCCGCUGCCAUGCGUGUGUGCCCAGCUCCAUUUGCCCAGUCUGCCCGCCUCUGUGAUCCCCCGCAGCACCGGCUGGAAGCGCGCCGUGCGCCAGUGAGGAGCUGCUGCAGAAGAAAGAAGAAGAAGCGGCGUGGGGACGCGGGAGGCAGGAGCGCGCAAGCAAGCAAGCAAGGAUGCAAGCGAGAAGAGGAUGCGGAAGCGUGCAGACGCGGGGGGGAAGGAGAGAGGCACUCUGGGCAAAGCAUCCGUCCCGUUAGCGGGGCCGCAGUCCCAUUUAGUCCCAUUUGAGUUUGAGAGUUGCCGGCGCCUUGGCCGGCUUUGUGCUGGGCGACCUCCCUGUAAGCAGGGCUCGGGUCUUUGCUUUUGCUGUAGUUGGGCUUUUGCCUUGCUGCUCCUUUGGCUGCCUGGGGAGCGUGGCCCCCUGUAACGCAGGGCGAGAGCCACCUCUCCGCACCUGAGUGGGAAACGGAGCUCGCCGGACCCCGAGGCCGCCCUGUAAGCAGGGUAGUGCCGUUUCCCCGCCCCUCUUCCUCCUCCGGCCCCUCGGCAUCGUUGCCUGGUGGUGGCCUGUCAGUGCGACGGCCCCGUACUCGGGGUGCGCGUCACGGCAUCUGGCCUUUGGCUUUAGCUGGGAAGCCCCUUGGCACGUUGAGGUCUGCGGCCUCCGUGCAGGCUAGGGACAGGUCACAGGCUCUUGUCUGUUGCCCGCGGUUGUGGGUUUAUUCCCAGGGUUUGGCUGCGCUGCGUUGUCCUUCCCUUCUGGAAAGUCGCGCCUGUGUGUGCGCGUUGCCCUUCCUUUCCUUGUUUGUGUUUGUGGAGUGACGGAGCGACUGAACUUUCCCUUUAGGCCCCCACAAAGAUGGCUGCAGCUUAGCUUCGACUUCCCUGGGGGGAAUGGAGGACUGUGGUGCACGCCGCAAAAGGGGUGUUCCCUCUCAGUCCCGCGAGCGCAGCGAGUGUCCUGUCUUCCUCUAAAUUAUUUAGCCUAGAUCAGAGCCACAUGGUAGUUCAGUGGCCGAGGCCGCCCUGUAGCCAGGGCUUGGGCCAGUCCUUUAGUGGGCGCCUGCUCCGCUGGCGGUGUGACAGCCCCGUAGUCGGGGCGUGUGUCCCAAGCUGCGGAGCCCUCUGUCCCCCGAGCAGCCCUCCCGCCCGCCCUGUAAUCAGGUGCGGGGAGGCUGCGGCAUUGCAGCCGGCUGCUCUAGCCAUCCAGCUGGUGGGAAUGACCCCUCCCUGUCCCGUCAGAGGGUGCAGGUUGAGGUGCUGCUUGUGUGUGCGGUGACCUCCCCACUCGGUGGGUCGAGGUUGCUCCCGGGGUUCCCAAAGGCAAGAGGUUGGUGAUGUUGUGCUGCUGCCGGGCGGGCCAGCCUGUAACUCGGGCGUUGGCGGGAGCCUCGUGCUCCGCGGGGCUUCCUGGGGAGGGUGGGGUGUGGGGGUACCGUCCUGUAGGCAGGGCUGCGCGUGCCCCCCGUGAGUGCUAGGUGAGCUGCGUUCAGAGAGACCCCCUGUACUCAGGCGGGCAUGUGGCCCCGGCCUUUCAGAGGCACGGGGCUGCGAGAGGUGGGCUUGGGCUUGCGCCCUCCCCGCAGUCAGGGCUGGGGUCCCCACCGCGGCAUUUGGCCGUGCCGCCCCGCUGCCUGGCAGCUGAGAGUCUCUCCCGCCGCUGGGGGGGAAACCGAGCUCUGUGGCUCCAGGGGUGUCAUCCACCCGCCUGUAAUCAGGGUCUGGGUGCGCGAGCGCUUGUGCUCAGCUGGCAGCCUGUGUGGGGUGACCGCCCCGUUAGCGGGGUGCGGGUCCAGGUGCCCCCGGACUGGGAGAGAAGGAGCCUCCCGCGGCCGGUAGGGAUGGGGGCUGCCCUGUAAGCCGGGGAGCGCCAGUGCCCCGCAGUCCCAGGCCCUUUGCAAUGGAGGCAGUGGCGGGGGUCCCCUGUAAUCAGGGAAGCUGACUCUUUGGCCGCUGCCAUGCGUGUGUGCCCAGCUCCAUUUGCCCAGUCUGCCCGCCUCUGUGAUCCCCCGCAGCACCGGCUGGAAGCGCGCCGUGCGCCAGUGAGGAGCUGCUGCAGAAGAAAGAAGAAGAAGCGGCGUGGGGACGCGGGAGGCAAUAUCGAGCACGAGGUUUCUGUUGAUUGUCAGCCUUUUUCAUUUUUCUUGUCUUCUGAAUCUGACAUUUGUGUUUUUCUCUUGUUAGCUCUUUUUUGUCUCCAUGGGCCUUUGAAAAUAAAAAUCAUAUGCGUGUUUUUGUUGUCGUGAUAUCUGCUUUUGUUCUCUGGUCUUCUCUGUGUUUUAAUGUUAAGUUAUGCCUCAGUUAGCAUAAAUCUGCUUCUUUUUGAAUUGCCAUCUA